rnacentral:rRNA from 1 species
CUCGUAGGCGGCCAACUAAGUCAGACGUGAAAUCCCUCGGCUUAACCGGGGAACUGCAUCUGAUACUGGAUGGCUUGAGUUCGGGAGAGGGAUGCGGAAUUCCAGGUGUAGCGGUGAAAUGCGUAGAUAUCUGGAGGAACACCGGUGGCGAAGGCGGCAUCCUGGACCGACACUGACGCUGAGGAGCGAAAGCCAGGGAGCAAACG